GCCUGCCUUUGAGUCUCUUCCAAAAUGCAGGUGAUGGAGGCUGACUUCCUUGUUACAGCAAGCUCUGAACACAAUAGCUUUUCCCUGCUUGCAUUGGGUUGGUCUCCACUUCUCUCCACACUGCGUUUGCAAUGAAAGGAUGGGUGAUUCUGGAUUCUAGAAACCAGAUGUGCUCCACUGACUCAGGGCUCCAGAUGUAGCUGUUGCCAUCGCUGCCUCGUUCCUGUAUCACCGACCUUGAAUCAGAGCUUAGUUGUGAAACACAAGGAUUGGGACAGGUGAUUCUGGAUUCUAGAAACCGGAUGUGCAACCAACAUUGGAUUCGGACUUUGAGUGGCUUGAAGAAAGUUCUGGAGAAAAGCCUUGAACUCUGUUCACACCUGGGGCUCAGACAUUCAUAAACGUUGACGAUGGACCACUGCAUAGAGAAGCUGGAUUGCAAGGGGGUUGAUGGCAGCCCAUGCCCCUCCAAGACUCACCUUGAGAAGGGAAGGAGUCUGGCAUGGCAGGCUGGGCUUGGCACCACCGUUGAGAGUGGUGAAAUCAGGUCUCACACCACCAGAAGCACUCCCAAACCACCCACUCUGGAGAUACGUGGGCAUCCUAGGGCAUGUGUACAUUGAGAAUGCUGCUGACCUGAACCCUAGAAAGCUCUGGGUCCACACAGCCUACUGGGGGAAUGUGACCGUGGCAGUUCUUGGCAGGAGCCAAUUGGCACCGAGAAGCAGGAGAGGAUGGCCCCAUCCUCAGUGGCUGCAUGGGGCAGCAGGCAGAGGUUGUACUGGCUGCCCUGUCCAGUCCUGGAGGCCAGAGUGCUCAGGAACUUAAGAGAAAGACGCCACUGGGAAAGUUCACAAUACUACAGGGAGAGAAAUCCUGCUAGAGCCUGCUGCGUCUCCAUGGCAGCUGGGACCACAGAACCCCAAACCUUCCAGCUCUAAGUUUUUAGUCAUAGGCUACAGAAACAUGGGCAUUGAGGUUACGCCUCAAAACUGUUUUUUAAAAAUAUUUUGUGCUGGGCAAACAGAAUUCGCUCAACCAGAAUGAAGCAAGAGCCACUUUCUGGAGGGGCCAGCUCUCUACCGUGGGAGGACGGAAGGUGACUUUGCAAGGCAGGAAAUACUCCUGUGAUGAAAAAGAUGCACUCUGUGAAAUCAUGAGUCACGGCUUUUCCCAAGAGGAUAUUUUUCAGAAAUUAAAGGCAGGGACUGAAUGGGGAGAGCCUCACCCACCCUUGCUGGAAGCGGCUUCUGGGCUUCCGCAUUCCUUUGACUUUUGGUGAUUCCCUGGGUCUGAUCCCCGAGCCCCGGGCAAAGGCUGCAGACGAGGAGCCAAAAGAAAAAGCGGAUUUGGUGGAAGCACCAGGUCGUCUAUCUUUCCUUGCAAGCAUCUCUGUAAGUCUUCGCAGGAACACAGUCCUGUUUCUCGGGCAAGCUCAGAUCUGCCACGCCUUCGCUUGCUUUCCCAGCCAGUUUUAGAAUCCAUGUAGGAGGUGUGAGAGUGAGUGGUAUGAGUGUGUGUGAUGUGAAUGUGUGUGGUGCGGGUGUGUGGUGUGAGUACUGUGUGUGUAGGUGGUAUGGACGUGUCUGCUGUAUGUGGUGUGUGUGUGGUGUAGGUGUGUAUGUAGUGUGCAUGGUAUGGGUGUGUGUGGUGUGAGUGUAUGUGGUGUGUGUGUGCGUGUGUGCUGUAAACGUGUAUGUUGUAAGUGGUGUGUGUGUGUGGUAUAGGAGUAUAUGUGGUGUGUGCGUGGUAUAGGUAUGUAUGUAGUGUGAGUGUGCACGGUGUGUGUGAUAUGAGUGGUGUGUGUGUAUGUAGUGUAGACGUGUAUGUUGUAUGUGGGGUGUGUGUGGUAUAGGUGUGUAUGUAGUGUGGGUAUGCAUGGUGUGUGUGUGUGUGUGAGUGGUG